rnacentral:rRNA from 1 species
GGGUCAGUAGGUUGGUCGUGCCACCGGUACGUACUGGUCUCACUGAUUCCUCCUUCCUGAAGAACCGUAAUGCCAUUAAUUUGGUGUUGCGGGGAAACAGGACUGUUACUCUGAAAAAAUUAGAGUGAUUAAAGCAAGCUAACGCUUGAAUACAUUAGCAUGGAAUAAUGAAAUAGGACGAUCGAUCCUAUUUUGUUGGUUUCUAGGAUUGACGUA